CCUAAACUGCCAGGCACAGUGCUGAGAACACAGCAGACACACAAUAAAUAUCUUCUGGAAGAGUGAACUCCCAGGUACCCAUAAAGCUAGAAGAAACUAACAUUUUCACCUUGGAGAAGCUGGUCCCAAGGGGACACGGGCUCGAUUCCUGGUCCAGGAUGAUUCCACAUGCCAAAGAGCAAUUAAGCCCAUGCACCAC